rnacentral:rRNA from 1 species
GAUGAACGCUGGCGGCGUGCUUAACACAUGCAAGUCGAACGAUGAAGCCCAGCUUGCUGGGUGGAUUAGUGGCGAACGGGUGAGUAACACGUGAGUAACCUGCCCUUAACUCUUGGAUAAGCCUGGUAAACUGGGUCUAAUACCGGAUAGGAGCGUCCACCGCAUGGUGGGUGUUGGAAAGAUUUAUCGGUUUUGGAUGGACUCGCGGCUUAUCAGCUUGUUGGUGGGGUAGUGGCUCACCAAGGCGCCGACGGGUAGCCGGCCUGAGAGGGUGACCGGCCACACUGGGACUGAGAGACGGCCCAGACUCCUACGGGAGGCAGCAGUGGGGAAUAUUGCACAAUGGGCGCAAGCCUGAUGCAGCGACGCCGCGUGCGGGAUGACGGCCUUCGGGUUGUAAACCUCUUUCAGUAGGGAAGAAGCGAGAGUGACGGUACCUGCAGAAGAAGCACCGGCUAACUACGUG